rnacentral:rRNA from 1 species
GAUGAACGCUGGCGGCGUGCCUAAUACAUGCAAGUCGAGCGAACAGACGAGGAGCUUGCUCCUCUGACGUUAGCGGCGGACGGGUGAGUAACACGUGGAUAACCUACCUAUAAGACUGGGAUAACUUCGGGAAACCGGAGCUAAGACCGGAUAAUAUAUUGAACCGCAUGGUUCAAUAGUGAAAGACGGUUUUGCUGUCACUUAUAGAUGGAUCCGCGCCGCAUUAGCUAGUUGGUAAGGUAACGGCUUACCAAGGCAACGAUGCGUAGCCGACCUGAGCGGGUGGUCGGCCACACGGGAAGUGAGACACGGUCCAGACUCCUACGGGAGGCAGCAGUAGGGAAUCUUCCGCAAUGGGCGAAAGCCUGACGGAGCAACGCGGCGUGAGUGAUGAAGGUCUUCGGAUCGUAAAACUCUGUUAGUAGGGAAGAACAAAUGUGUAAGUAACUAUGCACGUCUUGACGGUACCUAAUCAGAAAGCCACGGCUAACUACGUG